rnacentral:rRNA from 1 species
UACAGAGGUCCCAAGCGUUGUUCGGAUUCAUUGGGCGUAAAGGGUGCGUAGGCGGCGCGGGAAGUCGGGUGUGAAAUCUCGGAGCUUAACUCCGAAACUGCAUUCGAUACUGCCGUGCUUGAGGACUGGAGAGGAGACUGGAAUUUACGGUGUAGCGGUGAAAUUCGUAGAUAUUCGCAAGAACACCGGUGGCGAAGGCGGCCAACUGGACCAUUACUGACGCUGAGGCGCGAAAGCGUGGGGAGCAAACAGG